rnacentral:rRNA from 1 species
UACGAAGGGGCUAGCGUUGCUCGGAAUCACUGGGCGUAAAGGGUGCGUAGGCGGGUCUUUAAGUCAGGGGUGAAAUCCUGGAGCUCAACUCCAGAACUGCCUUUGAUACUGAAGAUCUUGAGUCCGAGAGAGGUGAGUGGAAUUCCGAGUGUAGAGGUGAAAUUCGUAGAUAUUCGGAGGAACACCAGUGGCGAAGGGCGGACUCACUGGCUUGGUACCGUGACGCUGAGGUGCGAAAGCGUGGGGAGCAAACAGGG